UACGGGGGGGGGCAAGCGUUGUUCGGAAUUACUGGGCGUAAAGGGCUCGUAGGCGGCCAACUAAGUCAGACGUGAAAUCCCUCGGCUUAACCGGGGAACUGCGUCUGAUACUGGAUGGCUUGAGUUUGGGGAGAGGGAUGCGGAAUUCCUGGUGUAGCGGUGAAAUGCGUAGAUAUCAAGAGGAACACCAGUGGCGAAGCGAGUCCCUGGACAAGCUUCUGACCGCUGAGGCACGAAAGCUAGGGGAGCAAACAGG
rnacentral:rRNA from 1 species